CCAGACUCCUACGGGAGGCAGCAGUGGGGAAUAUUGCACAAUGGGGGGAACCCUGAUGCAGCGACGCCGCGUGAGCGAAGAAGUACCUCGGUAUGUAAAGCUCUAUCAGCAGGGAAGAAGAUGACGGUACCUGACCAAGAAGCUCCGGCUAAAUACGUGCCAGCAGCCGCGGUAAUACGUAUGGAGCAAGCGUUAUCCGGAUUUACUGGGUGUAAAGGGAGCGCAGGCGGCCUUGCAAGUCUGAUGUGAAAGGCCGGGGCCCAACCCCGGGACUGCUCUUGGAACUGCGCGGCUGGAGUGCAGGAGGGGCAGGCGGAAUUCCUGGUGUAGCGGUGAAAUGCGUAGAUAUCAGGAGGAACACCGGUGGCGAAGGCGGCCUGCUGGACUGCGACUGACGUUGAGGCCCGAAAGCGUGGGGAGCAAACAGGAUUAGAUACCCGCGUACA
rnacentral:rRNA from 1 species